rnacentral:lncRNA from 10 species
CCGGCUCCUCAGAGCCCCUGCCCAGGUCACCUGUGUAAGGAGAACACAGUGCCAAUGCAGCACAGCAUAGUGACACCCGGCCUGCCGGGAUUUAGCCCCCACCCUACCUAGCGGUUCUGGAGCUGCCACUGUGACCCAUGCAGGGUCGAGCAUCCCAGCUUCUUGCAGAACUAUUGCUACAGGGCCAUCAGCAUGUGACACUAGGAGACUGUGCCAUGUCAUCCUUAUGUGGGUCUGGGUCACAGCCGCCCAUCUGCUGUGCUCCCUGGCUGCCUCUUUUGUGAAAAAGAAGGUGAGGAGGACCAGCGAGGAGACACGCCCACUCCAGGGGAACACCUCCUCCCACAGGAACUCUCUUGUGGCCACAUCCAGUUGCAGAAGAGGCUGGGAAGUGUGCACC